GCUUGUUCCAAACUUGUUACAACAACUGGGAACAAGCAGUGCCAACACAACUUGUUGACAGCUUGUGAACAGAUUUGUAACAACUUGUUUGCAGACCUGUAACAACUUAUGCGUUUUUACGUGUGUAAAAGAUGUAAGAUUUUUGCGUGAUAUUACACACGAUAUAACAGGUCUGCAAACAAGUUGUUAGAAGUUUGUUCACAAGCUGUCAACAAGUUGUCUUCGCACUGCUUGUUCCCAGUUGUUGUAACAAGUUUGGAACAAGC